rnacentral:rRNA from 1 species
UAAACCCGGAUUAGAUACCCUAUUAUUCUUAGGAUAAAAUUUUCUUAAGGUAGUAGUUGGUAUGGUCUUGAAACCUAAAGGAUAUGGCGGUCUUUAAUAAAAUCAGAGGAACCUGUCCUAUAAGCGACACCCCCCGUUAAAUCUUACCUUUUUAGGUUUGUAUACCGUUGUCUAAACUUUUUUUAUAGAAGAAGUUGAAAUCAGAUAUUAAUAAGUCAGAUCCAGGCGCAGCUUAAAGAGGUAGAGAUGGGUUACAAUUUAUCAAAACUGGAGAUAAAUUUUAACUUUUUAUCUAAA